AGAGUUUGAUCCUGGCUCAGGACGAACGCUGGCGGCGCGCCUAACACAUGCAAGUCGAACGGAGUUAUUUUCUUCACUCCGAGCUUUUUGCCAGUUAGCCGGAGCGGCAAUCGGUUUUGCCCAGCAUAAAAAGCAAAACCGAUUUAGGCUCAUAAAGUAAGACUAACACAGAGGGCAGAGAGUUGGGAGUGAAGAAAAUAACUUAGUGGCGAACGGGUGAGUAACGCGUGAGUAACCUGCCCUGGAGUGGGGGACAACAGUUGGAAACGACUGCUAAUACCGCAUAAGCCCACGAUCCGGCAUCGGAUUGAGGGAAAAGGAUUUAUUCGCUUCAGGAUGGACUCGCGUCCAAUUAGCUAGUUGGUGAGGUAACGGCCCACCAAGGCGACGAUUGGUAGCCGGACUGAGAGGUUGAACGGCCACAUUGGGACUGAGACACGGCCCAGACUCCUACGGGAGGCAGCAGUGGGGGAUAUUGCACAAUGGGGGAAACCCUGAUGCAGCGACGCCGCGUGGAGGAAGAAGGUCUUCGGAUUGUAAACUCCUGUUGUUGAGGAAGAUAAUGACGGUACUCAACAAGGAAGUGACGGCUAACUACGUGCCAGCAGCCGCGGUAAAACGUAGGUCACAAGCGUUGUCCGGAAUUACUGGGUGUAAAGGGAGCGCAGGCGGGAAGACAAGUUGGAAGUGAAAUCUAUGGGCUCAACCCAUAAACUGCUUUCAAAACUGUUUUUCUUGAGUAGUGCAGAGGUAGGCGGAAUUCCCGGUGUAGCGGUGGAAUGCGUAGAUAUCGGGAGGAACACCAGUGGCGAAGGCGGCCUACUGGGCACCAACUGACGCUGAGGCUCGAAAGUGUGGGUAGCAAACAGGAUUAGAUACCCUGGUAGUCCACACCGUAAACGAUGAUUACUAGGUGUUGGAGGAUUGACCCCUUCAGUGCCGCAGUUAACACAAUAAGUAAUCCACCUGGGGAGUACGACCGCAAGGUUGAAACUCAAAGGAAUUGACGGGGGCCCGCACAAGCAGUGGAGUAUGUGGUUUAAUUCGAAGCAACGCGAAGAACCUUACCAGGUCUUGACAUCCAACUAACGAAGCAGAGAUGCAUUAGGUGCCCUUCGGGGAAAGUCGAGACAGGUGGUGCAUGGUUGUCGUCAGCUCGUGUCGUGAGAUGUUGGGUUAAG
rnacentral:rRNA from 1 species